GGGCUAUUAGCUCAGUGGUAGAGCGCGCCCCUGAUAAGGGUGCGAUGAUUUACUUCACG
rnacentral:tRNA from 2 species